rnacentral:lncRNA from 1 species
GAUAAAAAUACAAUUAUUAGUUGCUACCAGUUGAAGAAGAUCAUUUAAUUUAAUUUCAUUGCCAACAUUUUAAAAAUAAAAAUACAAUUUUAUUUGCUACUUUUUUUUUAUUGAAAAAGAAAUAGAGACAAGAGUCAAGAGAAAAAAAAAAUAGAAGCCAAGCAUCACCGAAAAUAAGUACCAAAAAUACUAAAAAGAAAAUAAAUAAAAAUAACAACAAGCCACAAACACCAAAAUCCGGCAAUCAAUAGGAGCACCGGAGACACACCUAAGCACGAAAAACAACCUGCACCAAAAUUAAAAACGGUAAUAGAGAAAAGAAGGUCGGAAAGAAAUACAAAGAACGUACAAUUAACACACGAGUCCGAGAAAACGGAGCCCAACACCAACACCCCAAUAAUUAUUAGUUGUUACCGGUACGGAAGAACUCUUUUAGAACACAAACGCCACUUUGGCAUUCUAAAUACUGAUCAAAUUGAACUUUUUUAUCAAGAUAGAUUAUAUAACAAUCUAUAGCAGUUUGACAUUGUUUGGAAACGUAGGGAAGUUCGAAUGAUAUUAUCUUAUUUGGAUAACGGGUAGAUGUUGGAAUGUAAUUUGCAUUAUUGUCAACCGUCAUUGUAGUAAGAAAUAGAGUAAGAAAUAAAAUUAGAGCAGAAACAAACUUGAGAGAUUUAGUCAUUCUCUCUUUCUUCUCUCUGUAUGUAAAAAAUAGAACGCAAUUUGAUCAAUUUAUAGUGUAUUGAUCUCAGCAACACUUAGGUUGAUCAAUUUACUAUAAAAAAAAUAAAUAAAAAACUUAAUUAAAGUUGAUCAAUGGAUAGUUUUUGCCCCUUUAGAGGGCUUAGUAAAUAUCUCUCACAAAUUUUUUUAAAUAAAUUGUUUCUCUUUUUCUUCAUAGCCGCCGCCUCCCCACCUUAACCUAGUUUUUUUCUUCUUCUUGAUCUAUCAAGGAGGGGUGGUUUUAGCGUCAAUUUUUGACCCAAAAUCACCUUUCAUAAUUGUUUUUCAUUUUCUUCUUUAUUUAAAUAAGUGAUCUUCACAUUGAUCAAAUUUUUCUUUUGUGUUUUCUUUUUUGUGAUUUUGCCGUCUGAGUGCGGCGUUGUGUUGUUCGUCGUCUUGUGUGACGUUUUUGUUGUCUCGUAUUGUGCGUUGUUCAUUUGAUUUUUAUUGAAAAGAUCGGCGUCAGUCAAUUACAAAUUCAACCAAUGAUUUGGGCUUCAAUGCUGCAGAUCCGGAAGCAUGGAUACUUCGGGGACUUUAACUUUAUCAUAUUNNNNNNNNNNNNNNNNNNNNNNNNNNNNNNNNUGAUUAUGUGGUUGUAUUUGAUGUAAUCUAUCAAUUUGAAUGAAUGAAUAUCAUUUUGUUAUUGUCAAAAAAAAAAAAAAUUAACUAGUUUAAAAAAAAUUAUUUGAAAUUUAAGUCAAAAAUCUUAUUUGGGUCAAAAAAAAAAUUAAGUAGUUUAAAGACAAUUGACUUUUAUUCUAUAUUUAAGNNNNNNNNNNNNNNNNNNNNNNNNNNNNNNNNNNNNNNNNNNNNNNNNNNNNNNNNNNNNNNNNNNNNNNNNNNNNNNNNNNNNNNNNNNNNNNNNNNNNNNNNNNNNNNNNNNNNNNNNNNNNNNNNNNNNNNNNNNNNNNNNNNNNNNNNNNNNNNNNNCAAUUUGAAUGAAUGAAUAUCAUUUUGUUAUUGUCAAAAAAAAAAAAAAUUUACUAGUUUAAAAAAAAUUAUUUGAAAUUUAAGUCAAAAAUCUUAUUUGGGUCAAAAAAAAAUUAAGUAGUUUAAAGACAAUUGACUUUUAUUCUAUAUUUAAGUUUGUCAUUAUAUUAAGGUAGAGAAUUCAUUUAGAAUUAAAUAUUUUAAAAUUGUUAUAUAAUAUUGUUAAAAUAUAAGUAGAAUUAUUGAAAUGUUGUAACUUCGUACCAAUUAAAUAUUUUUAGCACCGAUCAAUCGGUUGUAUUAUUUGCCCCUUGAGAAUGCUUAGUAAAUGUCUCUUCAUGUGAGCAUUGUGUUGAGUUUGUCCCUUAAACCCACUUACCAGUGAACAGAACGAGUAACAUAAAAAAUUUCGAAUCAUCAUUAACAUUUUUUAUCUCUACUUUUAAAUCAAUUCAUGUAUAAUUUUCAAAAUUUUGAAUUUUUUUUUUGGACAUAUUUAUUAUAUUAUAGAAAUCUCUUAUAAAAGUUUAACAUUAUUUAACACAUAGGAUAAAAUAAAUAAAAAUAAUAAUUAAGUUUUUGGCCUUUAAAAAUUCAUAUUUAGUUUAUAUUUUGUUAAAAAGUUAAUUCUUUUUGUAGGAGAAAUUUUUAUAAUAUUAUAAACAUCAAUAAAAGCACUCAUUCAAAAAUAUUAAGAGUACACAUGAGUUGAGUUAAAAUCUUCCUAAUCCUAGAAAAUUUUACCAAGUUUCUUCGAUUAGUCCCCAACGGCCACAUAAAUUGACAGCCUUGCAAAUGCACGAAAUUUUCAUUAUAAUAAAAAGAGUAUCGAUCCACAUAAACUAAGAAGAAACAAUUUUAAAAUGAGUAGUGCUAUAUGUCCCGAGAAAGUACCUCCCGAAAAAUCACGAAUACAAUUUAUCUUUUAUUCUUUUCCGUUUAAAUAUUAAAAAAAAAAAAAAAAAAAAAACCCCCCNCAAUUCAAAAACACCAUUGAACUUAACUCUAAUCUCACAGACCUCAAUUUUUUCGAUGACAAUGUGGCUACCAUGAAAUCAUCACCGGCGAUGAUGUGGUUGUUGAUGCAUAAUAUAAUAUGGAUCAUAUCCAUUCUUUGAAGAUGAGAAACUGGACUUUAAUCAGGAAAACAAAUAGAGACAAAAACUGAAGUUUUGAGUUUUAAAAAAAAAAACAAGUAAAAGAAAAAAGAGAGAGAAACUAGACAAGUCGGUGGCCGACAAGGCACUACAAAUCCUAGCCACGUUAAUGACAGUCAAUUAUAUGAUGUUUUUAGUAGUAAUUUAGGAUAGUUUUAAUAGUAAUUGAAGCCCUAGGAAAAGUGAAGUUACAAGACUCAGAAGCAAGAAAAGUGGAAAAAGGGCAAAAAUGUAAUAUGGCAACGCAACAAUCGUACCCACGAUGAGUCUCAGCGUGGCGCGAUGAGACGGCGAUUAAAUUGAAGAAUAUCUGCAGAAAAUCUUUUCCAUCGUGGCACGAUGGCUUGUCAUUGUGGCACCAUGAUGACUUGAAGAAUAUGCAGAAAAUCCUGAGAAGAUCUUCCAUCGCACCACGAUGGGUGCGAUGGAUGCGCAGAAAAAGCUUAAACCCAGCUGAAAAACUAUAAAUAGAGCCUCCUUCCUUCACUAUUAUUCAUCCCAAAAUAUUCAGAAAUAUUAAGAGCUGUUCAAUAUUCACUAUAGAGUAGGAGAACUCUAAGGAGAAGGCAAGGAGGUCAAGGAACUCCAAGCCUAACAAAGUUCUUUUCUUUCUGCUUUUUGUAAUUUAUUUUUCCUAGGUUAGGUGGAGUCGAGGAACUCCCUUACAAAUGCUUGGUUGUAUAAUUUAUAUUAUUUGGGUAUAAAUUCGGUUAUUUCUACAAUAAACUCUUUUAUUGUCCGGUUUUAUAUUUAUUUUAAUAUUGAUCACAUUAGAAUAAAAUCUAAGGACCUAGUGGAUAUCGCAUAGGAAACGAAGCUAGUAAUCCCGAACGAAAAAUGGUAUGCUAGGGCCAACAUGAGACCAUUAAAUUCAGUAUCUGAGGUCUUAGUAUAAGAUUAGAACGCACAAUAACUUCUACCUUAACACAGUGCAUUUGCACGCCUCAGUCAUCAAAACAACCCAAAUUUAUUAUUCACUAUGUAAGUGUUUAAUUAUUUUGUGACGUGCUUUUUAAGUAAGUUAAUAACUUUAGUUAUUUAUCGAAUACUUUAGUUAUUAAGCGAGUAGUGAGUUAACGCGUGUUGGAUCAAGUUAUUGGGCUUGAGGCCCAAUGGGCCUUGUGGACUUGUGAGGGGGCGCCAUAUGGCCUAAGAGGGAGAGGGAACAUUUCAUUUUCUCAUGUUCUUGUGAGAGGUUAGAGAGAAGGAAGAGAAGAGGAGCUAGGGCAUAGAGAAAGGGGAGAAUGUCGAUUUCUCCUUACCCGAACUUUCUCCAUCCCAUUUUCGUUUUAGUUUAUAUGAGUUUUUCUUAAUGAAAAUCGAAUAUAAGGUUCAUAACAUGUUUAACAUGCUCUUGUCAUGAUGUAUGAACGAAUUUAAUGGAUAAAAACGGAAUUUAUAGAUGAUUAAACUCAAGAACAUUGUGUUUUUGUGAGUUUUGAGUAAAAGUAUUAAAUCUUUACUUUUUCGAUGUAUAUGUUGUAGAUCGGUGAAAUAAUCCGUCCUUUUGUGUUUGGAUAUGUUUGUUGCACUUGAAUAUAAACUUAUUUGGGGUUUAUAUCAUGAAAAAUGGGAUUUUUGGGUGAAAAACGCAAGGUUUGAGCAUUCCUGACAGAAGGCCUUCGCCACUGCUCGCCAGGAGCAAGUGUUCCACUGGUGCUCACCAGGCCUUCGCUCAGCGAACAGGGCAGGUUCGCCACGGCUCGCCACCGUUCUCUCAGCGAACAGCACUGGACAACAACUUUUUAUUAAUCGUUUUAAGUGCACUAGGGCAUCUUUCGAGACCAUCUUGGUAUUUUUUUAGGUGUAUUUUCAGCUAAUAUUGGUGUUGCAACCUCUCUUUAUGCUGAAAUUUGCGCUGCAAUUUAUGCUAUUGAAUUUGCUUCUGCUAAAGGAUGGACCCAUCUUUGGCUUGAAUGUGACUCUAUCCUCUUAGUUCAAGCUUUUACUAUUGUGAAUAUGGUCCCUUGGAAGCUGAAGGUUAAAUGGAAAAAUUGUCUUCAUAUCGUUAAAAAAUUUCGUUUUAGAUUUUCUCAUAUUUAUAGAAAAGGAAAUACUUGUGCAGACAGAUUAGCUAAUGCUGGUUUUUUUGUUGAUGGGUUAGUCUGGUGGGACCAAUUACCAAGUUGCUCUAGAGAGAGUUUCUUUAGAGAUAGAGUUAGUUUGUCUAAUUAUCGCUUUCGCUAAUUUUGUUUUGGUGGGUUUGGUUUAUGCCCCACCACCCUUUCUUUUGUUUUUCAUUUUAAUAAUACUUUUUGUGAGAUGGUAGAGGAGUGGUAGUGCAUUGAGGUGCCAACAUAGUUGGGAUGUCGAUGACUUACUAUGAUGUCAUGCUCUCCAUUUUUGCUUUAAAAAAAAAUAAUAAUUGUCUAUUUUAUUCUUAAACGUUAAAACCAUGUUUUUUUCUAUUAGGAAACCUAAAACAACAGUUAUCUUCCAGGCGUUGGUGUUGGUAAAAAAAUUGUUGCGAUAGGCUAAGACAAUGCCCCAACGGCCUGAAAACUGUUCUCGUAGCCUAUUGGAUCUUCUUAAAUAAAAAUAAUUACAAUAGACCUUAUAAAAAAUAAAUAAAUAAGUUAAAUAUUUAAGGCGAAGGGUUGAACUUUAGUUUUAAUAAUUUAAGGUCUCGAGUUUAACAAUUAAAUUAAAAAUAUACUUAAAAUUUAAAUAUCAUAUUUUAUAUUUAUAAAUAAAUAAAACUUUUUUAUGCUUACUUCAGAUGAAAUUGUAGUUCUCUCAACCCUGUAGUUCUUUUGCUACCUACCCUUUCUUCCUUUACUGGUCGUGUGCUAUUUCUAAUAUUAGGGGUUGAUUUUCAUCUUUUUCAUACUCAUCUCUUUACGUGGAGAUAGUAGUCUCUUUUGAUUAUUUACUAUGUUGGUUAGGCUCUGUACCUUUAAUUUUACCACACAGAAUGGAGUCCUUUUUUUUUAAUGGCAAAUAUAUAUAUAUAAAAUAAUGGAAGUCAAAUAGAAUUAGAGUUAUGGGUUCGGACCCGUCAUUUCAUCUUGUGUAUGUGAGUUUUCAAUAGCUUAUCAUUUCAUCUAUCUAGAAAAAAUUAGAGUUAUGGGCAUCAAAGUAAAAAAACAUUCAAUGGUUAAUCAUCCAAUAUUAAGAGAGAAGAAGAUCAUUUCAUUACCAACAUUUUAAAGAUAAAAAUACAAUUAUUAGUUGCUACUAGUAGAAGAAGAUCAUUUAAUUUAAUUUCAUUGCCAACAUUUUAAAAAUAAAAAUACAAUUUUGUUUGCUACUUUUUUUUUUUAUUGAAAAAGAAAUAGAGACAAGAGUCAAGAGAAAAAAAAUAGAAGCCAUGCAUCAUCGAAAAUAAGUACCAAAAGUACUAAAAAGAAAAUAAAUAAAAAUAACAACACGCCACAAACACCAAAAUCCGACUAUCAACAGGAGCACCGGAGACACACCUAAGCACGAAAAACAACCUGCACCAAAAUUAAAAACGGUAAUAGAGAAAAGAAGGUCGGAAAGAAAUACAAAGAACAAUUAACUCACGAGUCCGAGAAAACGGAACCCAACACCAACACCCCAAUAAUUAUUAGUUGCUACCGGUAGAACUCUUUCCUGCAUAUAUGGUAAUGAGAACACAAAUGCCACUUUAGAAGUUUUUUAUCAUGAUAGAUUCUAUAACAAUCUAUAUCAGAUUCACAUUCUUUGUAACCGUUGGGAAUGUAAUUUGCAUUAUUGUCAACCGUCAUUGUAGUAAGAAAUAAAAUUAGAGCAGAAACAAACUUGAGAGAUUUAGUCAUUCUUUCUUUCUUCUCUCUGUAUGUAAAAAAUAGAACGCAAUUUGAUCAAUUUAUAUUGUAUUGACCUCAGCAACACUUAGGUUGAUCAAUUUACUAUAAAAAAAAAAGAAAAAAUAAAAACUUAAUUAAAGUUGAUCAAUGGAUAGUUUUUGCCCCUUUAGAGGGCUUAGUAAAUAUCUCUCACAAGAUUUACAUUUCAUAAUUAACUAGUUUAAAAAAAAUUAUUUGAAAUUUAAGUCAAAA